GUCCUCGUAGCUCAGUAGGAUAGAGCACGGCCCUCCUAAGGCCGGUGUCGGAAGUUCGAAUCUUCUCGAGGACACCA
rnacentral:tRNA from 1 species